UAUAUUUCCAUAAGUUCCCUGGAAGACUGGCAGAUUUCCUGCAUUAUAGGCGAAUUUUUAAUCCUUUUUAUACAGAGAGCAGGGACGUGCACAAGGAUCAUUUUGGAUUAUAAAGGUCGAACCCCUUUUGAACCAGAACUAAUGUACAUGCUAUUUAAAAUUAUCCAAUUAAAAUUUCAAUUCAAAGUUUGCUAAGACAGUUGUCUAAGUUUAAAGAUUAAAGAUAAAAUCUAUCAACAUGCUUAAUUAAAACCCCGACAGACUCGAAUUUUUUCCUUUCGUCAUGGUUCUCUCUUUACCUAGUUAAACUGAAACCUGGAGGACGAAUGAGCGGAGAACCUCAGAGAACCUAGCGGAUCCUACAGCUUCAUCACUCAGUACAUAAUAACGUCUGUGGAAACUGUAACGCCUCCUGAACCGUCAAACCUCACCGCCGAGAAAUCAUGAUGUCUCAAGAAGAGGAGAUAACUACGCUACAUCGAUAUCUCUAAAUCCUUGCACAUAAACGUGCACCAUACCUUGCUAUACCUUGAUGAUUUGAGAGAAAUGAAGAGGAUCCAAGGAUCCCUAAAUCCAAAUUUCUAAUUAAAG
rnacentral:misc_RNA from 1 species